AGAGUUUGAUCCUGGCUCAGAUUGAACGCUGGCGGCAUGCUUUACACAUGCAAGUCGGACGGCAGCACAGGGAAGCUUGCUUCUCGGGUGGCGAGUGGCGAACGGGUGAGUAACAUAUCGGAACGUACCGGGUAGCGGGGGAUAACUGAUCGAAAGAUCAGCUAAUACCGCAUACGUCUUGAGAGGGAAAGCAGGGGACCUUCGGGCCUUGCGCUAUCCGAGCGGCCGAUAUCUGAUUAGCUGGUUGGCGGGGUAAAGGCCCACCAAGGCGACGAUCAGUAGCGGGUCUGAGAGGAUGAUCCGCCACACUGGGACUGAGACACGGCCCAGACUCCUACGGGAGGCAGCAGUGGGGAAUUUUGGACAAUGGGCGCAAGCCUGAUCCAGCCAUGCCGCGUGUCUGAAGAAGGCCUUCGGGUUGUAAAGGACUUUUGUCAGGGAAGAAAAGGCCGUUGCCAAUAUCGGCGGCCGAUGACGGUAUCUGAAGAAUAAGCACCGGCUAACUACGUGCCAGCAGCCGCGGUAAUACGUAGGGUGCGAGCGUUAAUCGGAAUUACUGGGCGUAAAGCGGGCGCAGACGGUUACUUAAGCAGGAUGUGAAAUCCCCGGGCUCAACCCGGGAACUGCGUUCUGAACUGGGUGACUCGAGUGUGUCAGAGGGAGGUGGAAUUCCACGUGUAGCAGUGAAAUGCGUAGAGAUGUGGAGGAAUACCGAUGGCGAAGGCAGCCUCCUGGGAUAACACUGACGUUCAUGUCCGAAAGCGUGGGUAGCAAACAGGAUUAGAUACCCUGGUAGUCCACGCCCUAAACGAUGUCAAUUAGCUGUUGGGCAACUUGAUUGCUUGGUAGCGUAGCUAACGCGUGAAAUUGACCGCCUGGGGAGUACGGUCGCAAGAUUAAAACUCAAAGGAAUUGACGGGGACCCGCACAAGCGGUGGAUGAUGUGGAUUAAUUCGAUGCAACGCGAAGAACCUUACCUGGUUUUGACAUGUGCGGAAUCCUCCGGAGACGGAGGAGUGCCUUCGGGAGCCGUAACACAGGUGCUGCAUGGCUGUCGUCAGCUCGUGUCGUGAGAUGUUGGGUUAAGUCCCGCAACGAGCGCAACCCUUGUCAUUAGUUGCCAUCAUUCGGUUGGGCACUCUAAUGAGACUGCCGGUGACAAGCCGGAGGAAGGUGGGGAUGACGUCAAGUCCUCAUGGCCCUUAUGACCAGGGCUUCACACGUCAUACAAUGGUCGGUACAGAGGGUAGCCAAGCCGCGAGGCGGAGCCAAUCUCACAAAACCGAUCGUAGUCCGGAUUGCACUCUGCAACUCGAGUGCAUGAAGUCGGAAUCGCUAGUAAUCGCAGGUCAGCAUACUGCGGUGAAUACGUUCCCGGGUCUUGUACACACCGCCCGUCACACCAUGGGAGUGGGGGAUACCAGAAGUAGGUAGGGUAACCGCAAGGAGCCCGCUUACCACGGUAUGCUUCAUGACUGGGGUGAAGUCGUAACAAGGUAGCCGUAGGGGAACCUGCGGCUGGAUCACCU
rnacentral:rRNA from 1 species